rnacentral:rRNA from 1 species
UCAAGAAUAUUCCGCAAUGGACGAAAGUCUGACGGAGCGACGCCGCGUGCAGGAAGACGCCCUUCGGGGUGUAAACUGCUUUUGCGAGGGAAGAAUUUGUGACGGUACCUCGAGAAUAAGAGGUUGCUAACUCUGUGCCAGCAGCAGCGGUAAUACAGAGACCUCUAGCGUUGUCCGGAUUUAUUGGGUGUAAAGCGUCCGCAGGUGGUCUAAUAAGUUGGUGGUCAAAUCCUGAUGCUUAACAUCAGGGCUGCUAUCAAAACUAUUAGGCUUGAGGCUGGGAGAGGCACACGGAACUGUCGGUGUAGUAGUAAAAUGCGUUGAUAUCGACAGGAACACCAAAGGCGAAAGCAGUGUGCUAGAACAGUUCUGACACUCAUGGACGAAAGCGUGGGUAGCGAAUGGG